rnacentral:lncRNA from 1 species
AGAUAUUUGAUGGCACUGGCCAGAUUGUAAAGCAUCCCACUGGCAUCCCGCUCUGUGUAUUUGUUGGUCGAAGUAAUAGCAUCAAAAAGAUCUCCUCCCUUUACAAGUUCCAUGACAAGGUACAACUCAGUUGGCAUGUCCAUCUCCUCAAUCAGAAGUACAAUAUUGGGAUGCUUGACUCGUCUCAAAAUGGACACCUCAUUCUGGAUCAUGUGCUCUUUUCCUCUACAUUUACUUUUUUUGAUUAUUUUCAGAGCAUACUCUCUACCGGUUGAUCUUUCUAUACACUCCUUCACAAUAGCAAAAUUUCCAUCUCCU